rnacentral:rRNA from 1 species
AACGCGAAGAACCUUACCUACUCUUGACAUCCAGAGAACUUAGCAGAGAUGCUUUGGUGCCUUCGGGAACUCUGAGACAGGUGCUGCAUGGCUGUCGUCAGCUCGUGUUGUGAAAUGUUGGGUUAAGUCCCGCAACGAGCGCAACCCUUUAUCCUUUGUUGCCAGCGGUUAGGCCGGGAACUCAAAGGAGACUGCCAGUGAUAAACUGGAGGAAGGUGGGGAUGACGUCAAGUCAUCAUGGCCCUUACGAGUAGGGCUACACACGUGCUACAAUGGCGCAUACAAAGAGAAGCGACCUCGCGAGAGCAAGCGGACCUCAUAAAGUGCGUCGUAGUCCGGAUUGGAGUCUGCAACUCGACUCCAUGAAGUCGGAAUCGCUAGUAAUCGUAGAUCAGAAUGCUACGGUGAAUACGUUCCCGGGCCUUGUACACACCG